CGGCGCGAAGACGUCGGAGACGGCCUUCACCGACUCGACUUCGGCGUAGGGCUCGUCUUUGCGCACCUGGGUUCCGACCUCCGGCGCGUCGA
rnacentral:tRNA from 1 species